rnacentral:rRNA from 1 species
CAGGCCUAACACAUGCAAGUCGAGCGAGAAAGGGGAAACCCCGGUAAAGCGGCGCACGGGUGAGUAACACGUAGGUAAUUUACCCCCAGGUGGUGGAUAACCUUCCGAAAGGAGGGCUAAUACAGCAUAAGACCACGUCUUCGCAAGGAGAUGAGGUCAAAGCCGGCCUCUUCACGAAAGCUGGCGCCAGGGGAUGAGCCUGCGGCCCAUCACGGUAGUUGGUAGGGUAAUGGCCUACCAAGCCUAAGACGGGUAGCUGGUCUGAGAGGAUGAUCAGCCACACUGGAACUGAGACACGGUCCAGACUCCUACGGGAGGCAGCAGUGGGGAAUCUUGCGCAAUGGGCGAAAGCCUGACGCAGCGACGCCGCGUGAGUGAUGAAGGCCUUCGGGUUGUAAAGCUCUGUGGGGAGGGACGAAUAAGUGCUGGCUAACAUCCAGCGCGAUGACGGUACCUCUUUAGCAAGCACCGGCUAACUCUGUGCCAGCAGCCGCGGUAAU